AGCUCCAAUAGCGUAUAUUAAAGUUGUUGCGGUUAAAAAGCUCGUAGUUGGAUCUCAGUGUUAGACGGUCGGUGUGCCGCCCGGCAUUACUGUCCGUACUGCACCGUCCGCCGUUGCAGUCUCCAGUGCUCUUCACUGAGUGUUGGACGAUUGCCGGUACGUUUACUUUGAAAAAAUUAGAGUGCUCCAAGCAGGCGUUUCCGCCUGAAUAUCUGUGCAUGGAAUAAUGGAAUAGGACCUCGGUUCUAUUUUGUUGGUUUUCGGAACUCGAGGUAAUGAUUAAUAGGGACAGACGGGGGCAUUCGUAUGGCGACGCUAGAGGUGAAAUUCUUGGACCGUCGCCAGACGAACUACUGCGAAAGCAUUUGCCAAGAAUGUUUUCA
rnacentral:rRNA from 1 species